rnacentral:rRNA from 1 species
UACGGGGGGAGCAAGCGUUUGUUCGGAUUUACUGGGCGUAAAGGGCGCGUAGGCGGUCAGCACAAGUCAGUUGUGAAAUCUCCGGGCUUAACUCGGAAAGGUCAACUGAUACUGUGCGACUAGAGUGCGGAAGGGGCAACUGGAAUUCUCGGUGUAGCGGUGAAAUGCGUAGAUAUCAGGAGGAACACCGGUGGCGAAGGCGGCUCUCUGGACCACAACUGACGCUGAGGCGCGAAAGCUAGGGGAGCAAACAGG